AUCGGUGUUAUACUUGCGCCCCCCGAAAAUUCCGAACGUCGUAUUCCCGCUGUAUUACAGCCGUGCGCGCGCGCGCCUAAUUUUGCCUCGAGAAAAUUCGAUGAAAUAUCGCGAUGUACAGGUUUAUAUAAGCCACAGCGAGGCGCGAAUCGACGUCAGUAAAAUUACGAUCAUGGGCUCGGUCUAAUCGACGACUCAGUCAAAUCACGGCGAUGCGGGAGUAUGGAUUUUAGCAGGGUGCACGAUCUUCAACGCACAUGAUAGUAACUGCCAUCAAACAUGCUGUUGUCAUUAUGUAAUUUGACCAGGUCGGUCGAUUGGGCAACUAAUGGGAACAAUUUUACUGAACACUUCAAAUCUUUUCUUUAACUAUAAAAUGUACAUCUUUCUAUUAUUCAUUUGUACAGAAAAAUGUAAAUUCAUUCGCAGCCAAUAACUGCGAUGCCUGUAAGUUUUAGUUUUAAGUGAUAUUUUGUAAAUUUAGAUUCUAGUUUGUAAAAAAUUGCAUGCAGCGUCACAGCUGUAUUCUUGUUAAAAUUUGACGUUCAGAUUUCGUAAAAUCAAGUCGCAUUAGUUGAUAUCUUUAUUUCGGUACAUUUUGAAAUGUCGGUAAAACGCCAGAAUAACUGUUCAAAGAUUUUUCACAAAUUUAAUCAGCUGAAAUUUUGAUUAAUUAAUUCCACAGUUGUUACUGGAGUAAUGUAAAUCAACUUUUAACAUCUUUACUUGAUAGAUUAAAAUGUACGAAUGAUUAGAUCUGCAAGAUCUUAAUAUUAGUCAUUUAAGAUUAUAUUUGUACAUUAUUCUCGCAACAAACUUUAGUAACACUUGCUCACAAACUUCUAACUGUAACAUUUCUUAUAUUUACUAUUAAAUAAAGUUUAAUUCUUAUCCUAA